AAUGAUAUGAACAGGAAAGUAGUGUUUCAAAAAACACACUUAAAUUUAUAAAUGAAAUCAAACUAAGUACCUCUAAAUAUAAAAUGACUGACAACAGGCAAUGGCUGAAAAAAUUAUAUUUCAGGAAGGUAAUAUUUAUAGAUUUAUUAAUUACAAGGUACAAUUUACUCUCAAUAAUCAAAUUAGUUUUUAAUAACCACUUAAAGAAUAGAAGUGUGUAUGUGAUGUUUGAUCAAUGGGGUUUGCAAACCAAGAACAGAUGCGUCUCAUUCAGAACUGGUUCAUUUAAAAGUCAGUCUAUCAAUCUAUCUAUCUAUCGCACAGAACAGGCAUUACAUAUUCAGGUUAAAAAACAAAUAACUGUGUUGCUUCUUUUUAGUAAAUCAAAAAUUUACAAUCAGUAUAGUCUGAUUCCUGGAUGAAUUAGUCAGUUUUUAUAACAAUCACAUAGUUACAUAUGAACUACUGAGAGAUAUAUUUGAAAAGGUGCUGUUGAAUUCUUUUUGUUUUCCCAUCCCUGUUGUUGGGGGUAGAAUAAAACUUAUGUAAUCCUUCAAAGCUGUCAGUAGGAGGAGCACUUUGAGAGUGUAUUUUUCAUUCCUGACAUCUAAGUGUGCUGUCAUUCUGGCAAACAGUAGUCAGUUAGGAGAAACCUAUGAAUCUUAACUCUACGGAACUUUUUGUCUCAUUGAUGAUGUUGCUGCUUGUCCUCAUGAUAUUUUCUCUUUUUAAGGAGAAUGCUGAUGCUGAAGUGAUAACACCAUUCCUCACAGAGCAGUAUGUUUUGGCAGGAAAAGAUAUUACUCUUUCCUGCAACUACAGUGGCUAUGUUCAAAAUUUACAGUGGUAUCGUCAGUAUCCCCGAUCCAAACCUGAGAAUAUAAUUUUUCACACUGAGGGCAACCAUCAGUCAGAGUCCAAGCUUCGUCUGUACGCUGUGGCUGAUAAAGGAAUCAAACUUAUGAAUUUGAGCAUAUCUUCUACAAAGCUGGAAGAUUCUGCUCUGUACUACUGUGCCCUGGAGCCCACAGUGACAGGAAACACAGCUGCACUGUACAAAAACUUUCUUAUGGCCUAUUCUUACUAGGUGCUUUCACACCAGUCACACCAGUUUUCCCCAGUUGUGUUUCCUGACUGAUACAAUGUGAUGCACUUUUCUCAUGAAAAUUUCCCCACAAUAUUUCUCACAAAAUAUCAACUCUGCUGCUGCAUUAGUUGAUAAA